GACGAACGCUGGCGGCGUGCCUAAUACAUGCAAGUCGAGCGGACGAUUCGAAAGCUUGCUUUUGAAUCGUUAGCGGCGGACGGGUGAGUAACACGUGGGCAACCUGCCCUGUAGACGGGGAUAACACCGAGAAAUCGGUGCUAAUACCGGAUAACACGAAAUGUCGCAUGACGUUUCGUUGAAAGGCGGCGCAAGCUGCCGCUACAGGAUGGGCCCGCGGCGCAUUAGCUAGUUGGUGAGGUAACGGCUCACCAAGGCGACGAUGCGUAGCCGACCUGAGAGGGUGAUCGGCCACACUGGGACUGAGACACGGCCCAGACUCCUACGGGAGGCAGCAGUAGGGAAUCUUCCGCAAUGGACGAAAGUCUGACGGAGCGACGCCGCGUGAGCGAAGAAGGCCUUCGGGUCGUAAAGCUCUGUUGUUAGGGAAGAACAAGUAACGUAGUAACUGACGUUACUAUGACGGUACCUAACGAGAAAGCCACGGCUAACUACGUG
rnacentral:rRNA from 1 species